rnacentral:rRNA from 1 species
AUUGAACGCUGGCGGCAUGCCUUACACAUGCAAGUCGAACGGCAGCACGGGAGCUUGCUCCUGGUGGCGAGUGGCGAACGGGUGAGUAAUACAUCGGAACGUACCCUGAAGUGGGGGAUAGCGUAGCGAAAGUUACGCUAAUACCGCAUAUUCUGUGAGCAGGAAAGAGGGGGAUCGCAAGACCUCUUGCUUUAGGAGCGGCCGAUGUCGGAUUAGCUAGUUGGUGAGGUAAAGGCUCACCAAGGCGACGAUCCGUAGCGGGUCUGAGAGGAUGAUCCGCCACACUGGGACUGAGACACGGCCCAGACUCCUACGGGAGGCAGCAGUGGGGAAUUUUGGUAC